UUCGCAAUGCCCGAAAGGGUGACGAAGCGACGCCGCGUGAGCGAAGAAGGCCCUAGGGUUGUAAAGCUCUGUCGGGAGUUAUGAAAUGCAGGUUGGUUAAUACCCAACCUGUUUGACAAAGGCCCCAAAGGAAGCCACGGCUAACCCUGUGCCAGCAGCCGCGGUAAUACAGAGGUGGCAAGCGUUGUUCGGUAUUAUUGGGCGUAAAGAGCACGUAGGUGGUUUUGUAAGUCAGAUGUGAAAGCCUUCUGUUCAAAGGAAGAACGGCAUCUGAAACUGCAGAUCUUGAGUGUAGGAGGGGAGAGUGGAACUUCUGGUGGAGCGGUGAAAUGCGUAGAUAUCAGAAGGAACGCCGGCGGCAAAAGCGAUUCUCUGGCCUAUUACUGACACUCAGUGUGCGAAAGCUAGGGGAGCAAGCGGGAUUAGAUACCCCGGUAGUCCUAGCCGUAAACGAUGGGCACUAAGUAGAGGGGUUUU
rnacentral:rRNA from 1 species